rnacentral:lncRNA from 1 species
CCACAAUAGUCACUACUGCUUCAAUCUCAGUCAAAAGAAAUUACAGCACAAUGAUGUUCCAACGAUCACCUGCUUCUGCUCCAUACCUACCCCAGGUGGCCAUCAGCUCCUUAGCACCCGAUCAUCUAGCCUCCCAAUGCAGCAGCGCCCUCCCUCAACUCAUUCUGGAGAUGCAUUGGCAGUGCAGGCAUGCCACAUGUGAAGGCUCAUGGCGAGGGUGACUCUGUUUCUCAUUGAAGACUUGCCAAUCAUCCUCUGAAUCAGUAAUUUCUUUUUGCUACCUAAAUCAGUAAAGUAAACAGCAUUAGGUCUUCACGAAACAUAUUCAAAAUUAAC